ensembl:snRNA U6 U6 spliceosomal RNA
GUGCUCACUUCAGCAACACAUAUACUUAAAUUGGAGUGAUACAGAGAAGAAUAGCAUAGCCCCUGUGCAAGGAUGACACACAAAUUUGUGAAGCAUUCCAUAUUUUU